UGGUGCAGUGGGGGGAGGCCAGCAGGAGCAGAGCCCAAUUCCUAGCCGACCUCUUCCCACCUCCAG
rnacentral:miRNA from 14 species